rnacentral:rRNA from 1 species
GGGCCCGCACAAGCGGUGGAGCAUGUGGUUUAAUUCGAUGCAACGCGAAGAACCUUACCAGGACUUGACAUACUACAAAUUCUUUUGAGAAAAAGAAGUGCCUUCGGGAAUGUAGAUACAGGUGGUGCAUGGCUGUCGUCAGCUCGUGUCGUGAGAUGUUGGGUUAAGUCCCGCAACGAGCGCAACCCUUAUUUUUAGUUACCAAUUCGUUGGGUUCUCUAGAAAGACUGCCGGUGACAAACCGGAGGAAGGUGAGGAUGACGUCAAGUCAGCAUGCCCCUUAUGUCCUGGGCUACACACGUGCUACAAUGGUUAAGACAAAGAGUCGCGAGCUCGCAAGAGUCAGCUAAUCUCAUAAACUUAGCCCAAGUUCAGAUUGUAGGCUGCAACUCGCCUACAUGAAGUUGGAAUCGCUAGUAAUCG